rnacentral:snRNA from 1 species
GUCACUUCUUGGCCUUUUGGCUAAGAUCAAGUGUGGUAUCUGUUCUUAUUAGUUUAAUAAAAACUUAGUUCAAAUAGACCAGGGAAAAACACAGCUCCU